CUCACCUCAGUGCCUGGGAAGGUGAUGGAAAACAUUGUCCUGAGAAUUUGGCUAUUUCCAAAUACGUGAAGGACAAGAAUGUGAUCAGGAGCAUUCAGCACGGAUUUAUGAAGGGACAGUAAUGCUUUACCGACCUGAUAGCCAUCUACAGUAAGAUGAAGAGGUCUGCACCACCUGAUCUCUCUUUCAACCUCAAAACUCUGCUGCUCUGUGAUUUGCUAGUCUCCUGCUUAUAUAAUCAUCAGAUACCACACAACAGAUCAUUUAAAUGAAUAUGGUAGGAAGGAAAGUAUCAAGGUUACCGACUGGAUUCCUGGAGCAGAUGAGUAGACCUUCAUGGCCAGACAACAGAGCAAGCUGACGAAGUCCAUGUAGCCAACUCUGCAGUCAAAACCAAAGUGCUGGGACUCAGAAGGUCUCGCUUCUUAAUUUAACUGCGUGUAAACAAAGAAAUGCUGUUGGCCCUAUUAAUCUCAGCGCAGGCCUGAGGGAUAAUGGCAGAUGACUCAUGGACCAGACACCAGUGACAACGCAUUACUCCGUGUCUGUUGGCCAAGUGCUACUGACUGAAAUCACUGGCUCUACCUCAAUUCACUGCAGCAAAGUGUCUGGUCUUGCUUGGAUUUGCUUGAGAAAUGACCUUUAUUUUUCUUAUCCGCAUUCUCACCUUAUGCAGUCUCCAUGUGUGUGCCAAAGUCACCUCCCCUGCAAGGGUGGACAGAUUUAGAGAUGCUCAAAAUGGCACAGUGAGGGUGUGUGGUUUGCUCUCCUGCUUUUGCUUAACUGGCCAGCAAGUGAACUGGGAGUAAGCAGGUCAGCUCAGGAACAAAGAAGAAGGACCUGAAGAGAUCAAAGUAACAGUAAGUGUCACAAAAAUUAUUUUUCUUAACAUGUAAAAACAGCAAAUGCCCCAUUUUGUAACCUGGAAGAAGUGGACUUCAGGCUGUGUUCCUCCAGACACAAACAGGCAUCCUUUGGAGCAGGUUCACAGACAUCUCUUAUCUCCAUAAAACUCCUAGAGAGCAUCCAGAGGA
ensembl:lncRNA